rnacentral:rRNA from 1 species
UACGAAGGGUGCAAGCGUUACUCGGAAUUACUGGGCGUAAAGCGUGCGUAGGUGGUUCGUUAAGUCUGAUGUGAAAGCCCUGGGCUCAACCUGGGAAUGGCAUUGGAAACUGGCGACCUAGAGUGCGGUAGAGGGUAGUGGAAUUCCCGGUGUAGUGGUGAAAUGCGUAGAUAUCGGGAGGAACACCAGUGGCGAAGGCGACUACCUGGCCUGUUCUUGACGCUGAGGCGCGAAAUCUAGGGGAGCAAACGGG